CUGUGUGAACGGGGAUCUUUUUCGACAAUGUUGCCAUCUGUAUGUGAAACAUUUCAAAAACACAAAGAAAAAACACUGUUUUGUUUUCAGUACAUUUUUGUUAUGUAAACGUACCCUAAAUUAAGUGUGAAACACUUCUCUACCUAGAGUUAAAAGUGGGGUUUAGAACGACGGGGUUAAGCGCAGUGUGAAAAGCCCUAAAAAAGAGAAUAAGAAAAGAACACAUAAAAAAUCUACAUGAAUAAAUAAAUAAAUAACAAACGUUAAAGAAAAUACUGUUAUUCGUUUUGAAUCCGGAGCUGUUUUGCUAUAUAAAAAGUGUAUACAGCCGUUUUAACCUUGGCAUUUGCUCUGCUAACUCAAGAGAAAAGAAUUCAUUUAUUUCUCCACUGUUUACUCUCAAUCCAUCAUGAAACAUUCAUUCAUGUCUUUGGGGUGAGCUGCCACUACAUGGUUAUUGCAAAGAGUUUUGAGACUUUUUUCAGCCGAUGGCAACACAACAGUCAUAUGGACUUGGUUGAAGUGAGCAAAUAAUCACAUCACAGCUAUCAGCAAGUCUCAUUUCGAUCUCCAAACUACGUUGGACCACACAGGCGCUACACGCACCAACAUUUGUCAUUAAAUGUUGCCGUUCCACAUGACACUACAUCCCGCUAGCCUUCUUUCAUUCUGUGCUUCAGCUUUCCCCAUCUCUCCAUCAUGUAAGGCAAACUUUUCCCUCUCUCCUUGUCUUUCAGAUGUGUAAAGUUCACAGCGGCUCAUCAUGUAAUCUCCUCAUGACUACAGCAUUUCCAGUGAGGUUACUUUAAAGCCUAAUUAACCCCAAUUAGACGUUGAUAAAGACUAUCAGGCUCCACAGAGAUGCACCAUGUUACAGCUGUUGAUUCCUCUUCAAAGUUAUUGUCACUUCAAGAUAUAAGGUUGUCACCCUAUAGAGUUUUCAAGAAGCUGUGUGAAGGACGUUCAUGUUACAAUGAGUUACAGCUGUUGAUUCCUCUUCAAAGUUAUUGUCACCUCAAGAUAUAAGGUAUCACCCUACAGCGUUUUCCUGAGUCAGUCAAGCUGUGUGAAGGAAAUUAGUUUUACAAUAAGGUAAUUGUGAACUUGCUCAUUUUUAAAACAUUUUGUGAACUUGCUCAUUUUUUUUUUAAUCCUUGAUUUCAUUACUUGUGUCAUGACCUCUUUAUGCGACCUCUUUAAUCAUUAAUGUUAUAAGAUGGCAUGUGAUUUACAUAUGUGAUUACUUUUUAUCUGUACUUGCUACCCACCACUAGUCUCAGUGGCUCCAUUUUUCCUCCUGUCUUGUGUCUGUUUCAGAUUAGCACAGAGUUCAAUAGAGUAGUCACCACUGAUCAACUGCAGUCAUCUUGGAUGGAAUAGAUGCUUUAGUGUCUUAGCUGUACAAAGCAGACUGUAUCAUCAAGUAGUAGGUUGAACCUUAGCAGCGUUAUACAGUGCCUUAAUAAGGAGGUAUGAAUAAAAAUUAACUCAAUUUGAUCAAUUUCCACUAAUAUAAGUGUUCUAAUUUAUAUAUUGGAGUCACUCAGUCUUUGUUUAUAAUUGUAUGUAUGACACAAAUUGGAACAGAAGAAAAGCUGCCUAUAUAUAUAUAUAUAUAUAUAUAUAUAUUAUAUGUAUAUAUAAUAAUAAUAUAAUUAUUAUUAUUAUUAUGGGUUGCACUUUUAAUUUACAGUAGGUGUACUUACAUGUACUUACGGUGAGCCUAGAGUGUACUUAUCUAAGAAAGUACUGGUAAUAUAAGGUAACUACAUGGGGUAGGGUUAGGUUUAGGGGUAGGUUCAGGGUUAGUAUCUAGCUAUUACCUAGUUAUUGUAAUUACUAUAAUAAGUACAUAGUAUGUACAUUAGAAACAGGACUGUAAAAUAAAGUGCUACCAUUAUUUUGUCCCAGAAUCAGUAAUGAUGUAUACUGUCAGUCAAUCUAAGUAGCAUACUAUUGUCAGACUCUAUUCUGAGUUUUGGUUGUGUUUUGCUCCCCAUGUGUUCCUGUCCUGAUUACGCUGAUUAUUAAUUUGAUUCCAGGUGUUUUCUGUGUUGUUCCAUUGAUCGCAGGUGUGUCUAAUCGUUAGUCCCUAUUGUCUGAGUAUUUAAAGAGUGUUCUGUUCCCUGUU
rnacentral:lncRNA from 1 species